AAAUAUGAAGUAAAUAUUACAUUUAGUUUCGACCUAAAAUUUUGGUGUUAACACCCUUAUUUA
rnacentral:tRNA from 1 species